GAGGUGCGCGCUGCGGGUCCGCCCGGGCGCCGUGCGGCAGAACGUGCCUGGAAGGGAUAGAGGCAGGGUGAGCCGGCGGGGGAGCGGGAGGCUGUGCCCAGCGAUGAGCCGCCUCCCCUCGCUCGCUCCCGCCCGCCCUCCCGCAGGAAUCCCGGGCGGAGCGGCGGCACCCGGGACGGCGGCGCGGAGCGAGGGAGCCGCGCCGGCGAGGAGGAGCCGCCGCCUCAUCCUGCGGCACCGGCCCGGCCAGCGCAGGUGGCAGUGUAGAAGCCAAGAACAAAAAUUGGCAGAAAUUGUGUUCUGUGUACAAGAAUAUGAAGAGUGUACUCAUGACUAAGCACAGGAACCUGGAAAACCACAGGCUUUAGUCAGGUGAUCCCUGAUGAGUAGCCAGCCCACCAAGAAGGGACUGCAGCACACAGGUAAGAGAGAAGCUGUGUACUCUUACAUGGGGGGGUCCAGGGAAGAAGGUAAACAGCUCUAACAUUGUUUGAAUAGUUUAGAAAACAAAAAAAAAUCCUGACUUUCUUGGCUAUGUAACACUGUGAUUGUCUCUUUCAAUGCUGCUACUUCUGCUAUUCAGUCUUGUUCUCGAUUUUUUUUUUAAUCUGUCUUUAAUUAGAAGCUUUAUUGCAAAAAAAAAAAAAAAGAAAAACCCAAUUGUGUGGUGUUAAAUAUAGAUCUGGGUAUUGCAUGAGUAUUGCAUUUUGUUACAUUUUGAAUAAAAUAACUUUCCAUAAUGCAAGUGUGUCAAACUCAUAUUUAGAGGGGAAUUCCCAAAUACUUGAACUAUGAGUCAUAAAAAGUUAAAGGACCAGUACAACAGUUCAGGAUAAAAACUCCGUUCAGCCUUGGGCAGCUGCUCUUGUACACAUUGGUAGUAAAAUAUGUCUUAAAAAAAAACCCCAAAGAUUCACAAAGCUGAAGCUCUUUAAACUCCGCUGACCAUAACCUAGAAGAUAGGUGGCAGAGAUGAAACAGAUGACUGGGGAGGAGGAUUGUGCAAGUGCUCUUGGUUUCAUGCAUCUUUUCAUUCAUUGUGUCUAACAACCUGGUGAAUGAGUCUUCUUAUGUGCUGAGGGUGCUUCAAAGGGCUCUGACUCCUUAAUUCCUGUUUUAUAAUGUCUUAGCAAGAAUACAGACUGAAAACCAGGAAUAAGUGCACUUACUACACAUGCAAGAGUACAGAAUAAAAAUGCUGGGUGAGUGUGACAGAUAAAAGUGGGGUUUAACUAUUUUUAUGUCUGGCUAUUGUGCCACACUCUUUAAACAAAACUACGUUAAAUUUUUUUCCUUAUUGUUGUUUUUCCUUACUAGAAGAGCUCAGAUACUCUCUGAAGUUCUCAAUUACUCCUGUUUAAAAUUGUGUUCAGAGUUUUUUAGGAUGAAAAAGGCAGGCAAGUGUUCCCAGCUCCCACCUGCAGCUCUGAAAAACUCCUUGUGGUCUAGGGUUGAAAACUUUAUUUUCAAAACCUGCCGUACAAAUUUCCAUGUUUUCCUGGUAACACUGCUCCUGCUCACUAAUUUGCAGUAUUUAAAUAAAAACUACUUGAGCCAUA